AAGUCGUAACAAGGUCUCCGUUGGUGAACCAGCGGAGGGAUCAUUACAGAGUUGCAAAACUCCCAAACCAUCGUGAACGUUACCUAUAUCGUUGCUUCGGCGGGCGGCUCGGCCUCGGCCCUGCCCUAGGCCCCUCUCGGGGGCCCGCCGGAGGUCUACCAAACUCUUGAAUUUACAUGGCCUCUCUGAGUCUUCUGUACUGAAUAAGUCAAAACUUUCAACAACGGAUCUCUUGGUUCUG
rnacentral:misc_RNA from 1 species